AACCCAACUCUUUGAGUAUUUUCCCAAGAGUGUGGCUAUACCCAUUUCCUGACCUUAUGUACAAAGGCAACAGGGACGUUUUUGAAAAUCCUGUAUCUUUCCCACUUGUCUUCCAGCAACUGUCACUACUUCGGAGCUUUCAGCCUGAUAAUGCUCUGCUUUCACUUCUCAAUUAAUUUCUCCUGAUUAGUCACAGAACCACAUCUAAAACUGCUGCACCUCCCCUGAUUCUCCUCCACCUCCUCAAAGUCAGAUCUUGUCUUCAGUGCAUUCUAGGAACGAGAAGAAACAGUGGAUGUUGGAGACUUGCUAUUUCUGACAGGUUCUUGGAUAACUUUUAUAGCUGUUGGAUGGGAGACAGCUCCCUUCAACACAGCACAUGGAUGUGUGUGGAUGGGCCUCUCCACCUCUUACAGUCUUCUAGAAAGGGAGUACCCCAAGUACAGCUCUGAGCAGAAGGGGAGUUCUUCCAGGUGUCUGCUCUUACACUUACAGAAUCAUAGAGUCAGGUUGGGAAAGAUCUCUAGGUUCAUCAAGUCCAACCAUCAGUCCUUCCCCACCAUGCAUACUCACAGAAUCAGUGAGGUAGGACAAGACCUCUGAGACCAUCUGGUCCAACCCCAACCCAUCCCACUAUGCCCACUAAUAUUCCCUCAGUGCCACAUCUCCAUGGUUUUUGAACACCUCCAUGGACAGUGACUCCAACAAACUCUUCUAGAAGAGAAAUUUCUUCUGAUACCUAAGAACUGAGGUGAGACAGCUCGCAGUAAAUAGAGUUUCGAGAUGGGCUUACAUCCUUGGACAGGUCGGGUGGCUGUGCUGACUCCCCUGCCAAUUAGUUCCCUAUUGUUCUAAGUUCAUGCAGGUACAUCACACGCCUGGCACAGCCCUUUGUGCCCCCUGGGAGCUGCUGUGCUGGCUGCAAGCUGCACGCUAAAUGAAUCCCAGACCUUUUCCCCUGUGCCUUACUCUUGCCUUGGCAUGCCCUGCGUUUUGCUUCCGGGGGUUUUCCUUGCUCAGUGAGGAGAAGCAACACAUUGCAACCCAUGGCACCCUCCCCUUGCUGCUGCACCAUGACUUUAUUUGGCUGCUCAUGGGGAGAUUGAGGAGACAUGAACAGGGAGCAAAAAACUGCACCUUGAACUGGGCAGGGCCCCAUGAAAAGUGCUCGUUAUCUGUAUUUGCAUUUGUUGUUCCAUGCCUUUAAUUAAAAGCUCCACGCAAUAGAAUAAAUUACAUAUGCAUUUUUAUUAGACAAACACCAGAAAGUAAAGAGAGAAAGUCAUGGGACACAUUUUAUAUACAAAAUCUGGCUGGAAAAAAAAAUAACAAAACAACAAAAAACCAAAAAGCUGAGCGGUAACAAGCGAGUUGCAGAUUUAAAACAGAGGGAUUUCCGAUCCACGGCAGAGCCCUGCAUGUGUGCAAGAGAGGAGGUUUCCAGUGAGGCUCCUGCGCCACAGGACAUCGGGUUCAGGUGGCUCCUGUUCUGCUUCCCCUGAUUAUGCUGUGGUGAAGGACCCGUGUCGUGGUGUUCUCUGGCGAGGGAGGGAGAGCUUUAGCUCCUGUAACUUCUCCGGGAGGAGGAGGAGGAGAAGAACUUCAUGCUGGAGCUGCUGCCCCCACCCAGGGCACUGGUCCCCCCGGGCCCACUGCAGCUGUAGUUGUUCCCCAUGCUGCACAUGCCACCCCCCAUGCUGAGGUUGCUUCCUCCUCCAUAUCCCGAUCCCACAGUGGUUCUGGUCACGGCUGCAAAAGAGAUAGAAAAGUAAUAAGGCAUUGGCUUCUCAGUGUAGGGGCAUAAAAACGCUCAGGCGAGGUAAUUUUAUAGAUUUUAGACUUACAGAUAUUCACUGGGACACCAUCUCCAGCCAGCCUGUAUGGGGAGAGAACAGCAACGUAAGAGGACAAGGAUACAGACGACAGCAGGGAAAAAUACAGGGGCCAUUUUAUAGGACUCCUGUAAAUAUUUGGUAUUGUCCAUGGAUGCUCCUCACAAUAUUCCAUCACCCGACCUCCCCCUGCUCCUGGGUACCCCAAUCGAUGCGUGUACCUCAUGAGGGAGCAUCCCACCCAUGUUUUAAAAUACCCCCCCACAUUGAUCCUCCCUCAUUUUAUACUGCUUCGUGCUCCAGCUCUUUGAACCCAAUGGAAUGUGUCCAUCUCCAGGGAGGAUCACACAGGGAAAAGUGAAAUUUGCUGAUAUUUCUGCAGGGAUUCUUUACCCACCUGCACUCCUCGCCCUCCAGCAGCUUCCUGUAGGUUGCAAUCUCGAUAUCCAGGGCCAGCUUGACGUUCAUCAGCUCCUGGUACUCACGCAGCUGCCGGGCCAGGUCUGCCUUUGCCUGCUGCAGGGCAUCCUCCAGCUCAGCCAGUUUUGCUUUGGCAUCCUUCAGGGCAAUCUCCCCGCGCUCCUCAGCAUCCGCAAUGGCUGCUUUCAGAUUUGCACACUGGGAGAGAGAAAAUCUCGGUCACAUUCCCCUAGUUGACUUGUUCCUUUUCUACCCUAUAAUCACAAGGUCUUAUUCCAGCAUCACCAAUUUAACUAAUUUUACUGAGUUUUUUGUUUUUGACAGAAGUGUCAGCUAAGCAGAACUUGCCUACAUUGCUUCUGAUAUUUUCUUUCCUUUCUUCCAAUCUGGGGGGUAAAUUGAUUAAAAGCAUGGAUUUUCCUGCCCUGUACCUGUUUCUUCACGUUGUCAAUCUCAGCCCGCAGACGCUGGACGUGGCGGUUGAGCUCAGAGAUCUCCUGCUUGGUGCUGCGGAGGUCGUCCCCGUGCCUGCCUGCGGUAGCCUGCAGCUCUUCAUACUGCCAGGGAGAGGAGCAGAGGUCAGGGCAGAAUCCAGCAUUGUAGAGUGAAGAAGCAUGAGAAGAUUUUCCUGGAAGAGUCAGCCCUUCUCUAUUCAAGACAAGACAUGAAGACAGAAGCACGGAAAGCCCCAUCUCCUUCACCUUGGUUUGGUACCAGGACUCGGCUUCAGCCCGGCUGCGGUUGGCGAUGUCCUCGUACUGCGCUUUCACCUCUGCAAUGAUGCUGUCCAGGUCCAGGUUGCGAUUGUUGUCCAUGGUCAGCACCACGGAGGUGUCGGAGAUCUGGGUCUGCAUCUGGGACAGCUCCUGCAAUGGGAACAGGGUGAGCUUGCACUCGGUGGUGCCUCCUCAUCCCUAAGGAUGAGCGCGCCAAACUGGGAGAGGCUGCAGAUCAUUAUCUGCACGGUUCUAAAGAGUGAAGAGUUCAGCAUCUCCUGGGGGGAGGAAUUAAGGGCUGUUGGAGGGAGGUGGGUGAUAGUACUUACAGCUUCGUAGAGGGCUCUCAGGAAAUUGAUUUCUUCAGUCAACGCAUCUGCCUUGGCUUGUAGCUCAACCUUGUUCAUGUAGGAAGCAUCCACGUCCUGGAAGGUGAGAGAAGUGGACAGUGAGUUUUAAAGUCUUGUUCACGUGUGUAUUUCUGCAGUAACAGAGCAGAGAAGUCAUGAAGAAGACAGGGAAGAAGUCAAGAGGGCAUCAAGAAGUACGGAUGGGUUUGUGGAUGGAGAGUGGAUGGAAAGAGUCGUGAGCCGAUGAGCCGCAAUGCGCUCUCACCUUCUUAAGUGUCACAAACUCAUUCUCUGCAAUGGUGCGCCUGUUGAUUUCAUCUUCGUACCUAAUGGAGGAGGCAGAGGGAGUAUUGUUUAGGCAGGUAGCAGACGGAGGUGAUUUUAUUUUGCUGGAAUGAACUUCCUUAACAGCAGUUUGCAUACAAUGUUCUUUUCUCCUACGUUGCAUCUGAAUAAGAGACCAUGAGCGAUUUCCUAGGCUGAACUAGUUAAAACAAGUACAUUAAGGAAAAAAAAAGUGAAAGCAUCUCUGCUAUUCCUUUUCUCCUCUUUCUGGCCGUUACUCAUUCCCCUUCAGCCUCUCUUAAGCAAAUUAAGCAUGCUGCCUCAAAACUUUCAGACCUACCGUGUAAUUUUUUCUCCGUGCUAGGUAAUUUAGUUAAUAAGCCUUUGAUCAUAUUCUAAAUUAUUCCCUGAAUAUUUGUGCAUUUGGAUCUGUUGCUCCGUUACCAUCUAUUUUGAGAAAGUGGCACAGCCUUCAUUGUCGGGAAUUCCUUCACUGUUGGGAUUCCCGUAUCCCAGUGCUGGAGGGCUCAGCUGGACCCCCAGAUGGCGGUAGGAUGGGGGAAGCUGCACCCAUCAAGUGGGCAGAGCACAUGGACUUACUUCUUCUUGAAGUCCUCAACCAGGUACUGUGUGUUGACGAGCUCUCCCUCCAGCCUCCCCUUGUCGCUCAGCAGGCUGUUCAGCUGCAUCCUCAGGUUGUUGAUGUACGUCUCAAAAAGUGGCUCCAGGUUGUUCCGGACCGUUUUCAUCCCCUGCUCUUGCAGCAGGCUCCACUUGGUUUCCAGCACUUUGUUUUGUUGCUCGAGGAAUCGGACCUGCCAGAAGAAAUAUGCUGAAGAUGUUUGGAAAGGGCAGAGAUUGGGGUGAACUUCCUUUGCACUUGUGGGGUCCCAGUACCAGAGAGGGGUUGCAGUACCCUUUCCAACUGGUUUUCACAGAUAAAUUUAUCUCUGAUAGAAACAGGAAUUUGCAAUUUGAUUGCCAUUUUCCUGCUCAGUGUUGCAAACAAGCGCUGGAACUAAUUUCCUUUCCCCUUCUGCCCUUUGAAUAAGUGUGCAAGAUGCAAACAGCAUGUUGAAAAUCAGAUGAGGAGUAAACAGGAUUGGAACUCCUAUUAAGAAAAGUGCCAGUUCCCCCCCUCUUAGCAUUGCUCCUCCACUUUGAAAAACCUCUGAUAUAAUGCAGAAUAAUGCAGCAUUUUGCUUCGAAGCAAGAGGAGCUGCUCAACCAGGAGAGAAAUCAAGCAGGUGCUCUUGUGCAUCUAAUAUGCUUAAUGAGGAAAUGAAGUGGACAGAAAGUGUCGGAUCAGAUUUUGCUAUUUUGAGCAGUCCCAACUUGCUGGUACUGUUUCAUUAUGAGCUUUAAAUGCCUUUGAGGAAAAUUCAAGCACUGAGAGGCUUAUAUCUUCCUUUGUGCUCUUCCUUUUCUAGUCAUUUCAGGAUUGCUCGCACCUCACUUUAACCACCCAACACCUGUUAUCCUGAAGUGCUCAAUGGAGAGACCCCAACACCUGCAGAGGGGUGGAAUUGCCUUUGAGAGUUUUCUCUCUCCAUUUGCCUCGCAGCAAAUGAGAACCUCAGAUGCUGGGUGAUGCACUCAUAGCAACCACUGCACAGCAGGUACCACUGCCUGGAGUUCCAGGGACAGAGGCAUCUUCCAGUCCCAUUCCUGAUCACUGUUCCUUCUUGCUCAGCUCAUGUGCUCAUCAUGCAAUAAGAAUCCCCAUCAAAACAUGAGGGCAGGGAAGCUCAUGGCUCACCUUAUCGAUGAAGGAUGCAAAUUUGUUGUUGAGGGUUUUGAUCUGCUCCUUCUCCUCCUUUCGGAUCCUCUGGAUGCUGGGGUCGAUCUCCAGGUUGAGGGGCUUCAGAAGGCUCUGAUUGAUGGAUACCUCCUGGAUGCCACCAGCAGGGAACCCAGGGCCUCCAAAUGCCCCGUAUCCGUAGCCCAGCAUGCUCCCAGCACCUCCACCAAACCCUGCGGGGCCAUAGAAGCCCCCACCCCUUCCAGCUGCAGAGAUCCUCUUGCAUCCACCGAAAUUGUAGAGGCUUCUGCUUCCAAAGCCACCUCCAACCCUUGCAAAGCCACUGCCAGCAUUGCAGCCCCCAGCACGGGUGACGGAGCGUGAGCUGAAGCUGGUGCGGCACGUGCCGGGCACGAUGGCCGACGCAGCGCUGAAGCCACUUCUCCCCCUCUGGAUCCUGACGGUGGACUGGCGAGACAUGGCUGGUUUGGGAUGGGGUGGAUGCUACGGCACGAGGGAAGCAGUGGAGGUGCUGGCCUGGAGCAAGGAGUGGGAGGGAAAGUAGAAAGAUGAACCUGUGCUCCUCACGGGCUCGGGAGAGCCCUUUUAUGCAUUUAUGAGACUGGGAUGGGUUUGAUGAGGUGGAUCGUCUUUCUGAUUAAUUAGGCUUGGCAUGUCCAACAGCAUUCUGGAGAGAGAACUCACUCCGCACACACGCCCUUCUGAAAUAAUACAGCCAAGUUCUGAGCAACAGUGGUAUUGUUUGGGAAUAACUGUCGCCUUCUGCUGUCUUUGUAGACGGGCAGACUCUGCACCAUAUCAAAGAGUUUGGGAGCUGCAAUGAAUCAGCCUGGUCACGGGAGGGAAACACCGUUUAGAGUGGCUGUCACUCAGCUCUUGGGAUCUUCAGACCAUGGGACUGCUCUCCUCAGCCCAUCUCUGUGAAUGGGGCUUUAAGAAGUUGCAGUCCCUGGUGUUUUAGGGAAAGGAAUGUGUUGGCAGGGCAGCGUUGUGCAGUCCUGUAGAACAUUGCACGUUGCUUUAUCCUAGGAUUUUGUGGUGUCAUGGAAUCACUGAAUCCAUGGGUGGCUUGGUUUGGAAGAGUCCUUCAAGAUCGCAGAAUCACAGAAUCACAGUGUGGCUUGAGCAAGAAGGGAACUUCAAAGCCCCCCCCAUCGCCACUCCUUGCCUUUGGGCUGAUCCCAUUCCUCCAUCAGCUUCCCAGGGUCUGUUUAUGGCCUUGAGCAGCCCAAGGUGCACCUAUGCUUCUCUGGGCAGCAGUGUUAGGGCCUCACUAUUUUCUGGGUGAAGAAUUUCCCCCUCACAUCUGACCCAAAUCUCCCCUCUUUUAGUUUGAAAUAAGCCAUAUAGUCCCCUUCUACAGUACAUCUACACAACUACCUCUACUUUAUCUCUACAUAGGCUGAGUUUCUUGAGCUGGUGUCUUCUGAAAAUCCUGCUCCAGUGGACAUACCUUUCUGUGACUCUUAAAAAUAAUAUAUAUAUAGAGAGAGAGAGAGAGAGGAAGGAAUGAAAAUGGAACAUUUUGUCACAGUCUCUUGUUCACACCUGGACUUUGACAGCCCUAUUCACUGCUGCCAUUGAGUUCUGUCAUGGCUGUGCUGCUCCCCCAGCUUCCAGGCUUUCAAAUUUGACAUUUAGGAGGAUGGAAACGAAAACAAUGAGAAAAAAAAUAAAUAACUACGGAGGAGGAAGGACUGUGGGAAUGGAGCUGCUCUGAAUCCACUGGCUCUAUGGAAAUAGAGUGCUCCAGGGCUGCUCCCAGCUCCCCAUCUAUAAACAUGAUGUCAUUCCCCAAAGAUUUAAUCAGCUCUCUGCUCAUCUGAAAGAGGGAUCCCAUCAACCUGAAUCCAUGAGAAAAGUGCUCCACAGGAUCUCUUGCCCAAAUCCUUAGCAAUCUGUGCACAAAGAUACCUGGCCCUGUCCUUUCCCAUCCAUGUGUGCCAAUGAAAACGUUUGCUUUGCAUGAGCAUCACAAGCAGUUCAAGUAAUGAGUCAAAUCGUGAUAUCGUGAUAAAGCCUCAAUUUUGAGGGGGGAGAAGAGCAUCUGGCCCUUUCUGUUUCUGGCAGGUCUGGAAAAGAUGACUCAUAUGUAAUUACACAAGAGGGUGACUUCGCAAAAGCAUCCCCCCGAACAGCUUCAUCUCGUGUUUCUGGAGCAGCAAUCCUUUGUUUAUUUUGGUAGCUGUUCCUUCAGCUCCUUCAAUGAAGGGCUGAGCCUUCAUUGUGAUGCUGCACCUUCCACACUGCAACAGUCCCAGUGGGGCUAUUCGCCAGGUGUGCACAUUUGCACACCCAAAGCCCUGUCAUGCUUUGGGCAUUGCUCCCUGGGGUGCCCUCCAUCCCUUGUGGCUCCACCUGAAAGCUUUUCCCCGUUGCUGUGCAGCUCAGGAGGGCAUCAGCACCAAAGGGAUUCCCCGUCCUUUGCACAGCUGCAGCACCACAGGGCUGACUCAGGGUGUGCAGAGCCUGAAUCCCACCCUUGGUUACCAACGAGUGUGAUGAGUCAGUGCUUUCCUUUCCCCCCUCAGGCUCCAUUUUACAUAUGAAACUCAUCUUUUUUAGCCAAAGAAUACGCCAACCGCGUUGGAGUCCAUUGUUAAUAAUAGUAAUAAUACAGCUCCUCCAACCAAAUAAAAAGAAAUUAAUUUCUUUCCAUUUCACAUUUGCACUAGGGUGGAGGUGAUGCGGUUGUCACUCAUCUGGAAGGAAUUUGAGAGGUAAUUACAAAAGGCAGAACUGGGAGCACCAGGAGCUGCAGCUACAGGUCUGGGGUAUGGGUGAUGGCAGAGGGUCCCCACCCUGCCCUGUUGAUGAAACAUUGGGUUUCCAGGUAGCUCCCGGGGGAGUGUCUCCCCUGUGCCCUGCAGCUCCAGGCAUGUGGAUGAAAUUGCUGCUCUAAUGCAGAUAGCUCACCCUGAUACGGACUUCUCCUCUGGCAGAGUGUAAAAAGCAGAGUGGUGCUCUGCUUUUUCCUCCUGAUCAGAUCACAGAGCUGUGCUGGGGCUGAGAGCCCCGUAAUGCAGCUCUGGAGCCUUUUCCACCCCUCUCCCUCCUUUCCUCCUCCAGGGAUAGGUGGGAGAUCCCUGGGGUGCAGCCUGGUAUCACGCUAACAUUGAGGUAAUACACUCCUUCGAGGGUAGAAAAGUGAAUUCUGGCUGCAUCAGGGCAAUAACUACAACUCAGGUCCUUGUAGUGGGAAAUUUGAGCUGUUUCCCAGCCAGAGAGAAAGAAGGCAGCUACAACAACUUGCCACCAACACCUGCCCAGCAUCCACCGUGAGAUGAUUCCACGGAUGCAUUUGCCAUGGGAGCCUUCGUUUCAAGAUGGAUGUCUGUUCUCAGACAAGAUUGAGGAGGUCUCCUUUCAGCCCAUGGCUUGUUGCAUCCCAAAAGAGCCUCUGACCUUGGUGGGUAUAUAUCCUUAUCCCGCUCUGCAUUCAACACAGCUGCUUGCAUGGAGGUACCCAAAUAAUAUAGAAUAAAUAAUACCCAAAUAAAUAAUCCCAAAUACCCCCAAAUUAUUCUGUUGCUCCUUCUGAGCACCUUUAAUGCCCUGGAUAGGGCUCUGUGACCCUUCUAACCCAAGCCAUGACCUUCUAACCCAUUCCAUGUUUCUAUGAUCAUAAAGAGCCCUUCCAACCCAACCAUUCUAUGGUUCUACGACCCUUCCAAGUCAAACAUCCUAUGGUCCUACGGUCUGUAAGGACCCUUCCAACCCAACCAUCCUAUGGUUCUAUGGUCUGUAAAUGCCCUUCCAACCCAACUAUCCUAUGAUUAUGAUUCUGUAAUCUCCUUUCUCAUGGCCCUAGGGUGAAUCUUCUCUCAUUUUAAAGUUGCAGUGAAAGUGAAGUUGCUGGAUACCUCAUGAUUUCAGAUUAGCAUCCUGCACCAGCACCGCUUCCGGCUCAGGGUUUCUUGCAGACAGACCUAGCGCUUGUGCAAAAUUUAAUUUCUCCCAAUUAAAACAAAAAAUACCGUUCUCUGAGCAGGUAAAAUCAACAAGUAUUAUUCACAUAUUCUAGGAGGUGUCUCCGAGCGGGGUUUUGCUCUCCAAACAAUUGACUGAUCCUUGUGAAUUGUAGCAGGGGUGUUGUUCCUCUGCUGGAUUUACUGAGUCCUCCGUCACCUUCCCUGAAGCCAUUUUGUGUCUUGCUUCAUUUCCAGGCUGCAUGCAUUUGCAAGUUUUUUUAAAAAUAAUAAUUUUGUUAGGAGAAAACCUUGUCUGGAGGGGACCCUGCAUGGUAGGACCAACACUUCCAGCCUGUCAGCCAGCUCUGUGCCUUUCCCUUGCUCUGGGUCCCCACCUACUGGAGACAGCAGGCUGGGUUGUCGGGUGCCUGCACACCUCUGGCUUUUUGGCAGUGGGGCUGCUCCUUCUCCUCCCCCUCCUUUGGGGUACCCAUGGUUGGAGCUGGUAGGGCAUGUGGGAUGGUGGGUGGAUACUGGGAAGGAGUGAGAUGCUCACCUUAGGACAUCCCUCCAAAGGGCUGUGGGGAUUUUCUGCUCCUCUCCUUCAUGUUGCAGCUGUCAGAGCUUUGUGCCAGGUUUCCAGUGCCCAUUGCUGCUGUUGUCUGGAUUGCCACCCAUUGAGCGGUGGGAUCCCAUCCCAAAUCUGCUCCCUGAAACCUUCUGGGGAAGUGGGUGGAAAUGGAGCUGCCAGGUCCUGCAGGUUCUCUCAGAAUGAAGCUGAGGUCCCAGAACAGCCCUUCCAGAGCAGCAUUUGAAUGAGAUAUCACAAUACAAGGGAAAAUUCCACAUGCAAGCAUGCAGUGAUAUAUCGGACACUUUGCCCUGCUCCUGCCCCAAUUUGCUCUUUGCUGGUACUGUCCUCCUCCCUUAGGGGGUGACAUUUCCCUUCCUAGGGGCUCAGUGCAGAGCACCUCCCCUCCUCAGUGCAGUUCUUGAUGUCCUGGCUGUGGUCCUCAUGCUCGCACUGGGCUCCUUUGCUGUAAGGUUUGCUCCAUGCUAUGCCUACACUAACUCAAGGAUCUUGGCCAAGCCUUUGACAAUCACCUUCCUUUCCCCAUCUCCUGUGUUUUCUCACUCCUGCAGGGAUGAGAAAAAUGACAGCCCCAUGGUGGGGUUCCUCCAGCUUUUGUCUUACCCAGAAGCAGCUUGUCCUCUCUCUGUCUCAGUUCUCUGCCCAGCCCACUCUCCCAGAGCCACACUGGAGUAUGAGUCCUAGCCCCGAGCUCAAGGUAGUACUCUUAGAAUCACAGAAUCACACAAUGGUUGGGUUGGAAUAGACUUCAAAGAUCACAGAAUCAUAGAAUGGAUGAGUAGAAAGGAACUCCAAAGUCCUCCCUCUAUGGGCUGCUCCCACCCCCCCAUCAGCUGUCCAUCCCUAUCCACGGCCAUGAGUACCUCUAGGGAUGGGGCACCCACACGUCUCCAGGCAGCUGUGCCAUGGCUUCACCAGCUCUGAGUAAAGAAUAUUCUCACCCAAAUCUCCUAUCUUUUAAUUUAAAGCCAUUCCCCCUUGUCCUAUCACUGCCUGCCAUUGUAUAAAGCUGUUCUCCUGUUUACAAGCUCCAUGUAAGUACUGGAAGACUGUAACGAUAUCUGCCUCCUCGGAGCCUUUUUGUCUCCAAACCAAUUCCCGUCAGAGAAUGAAGCCAAGAAGCAGCAGUUUUUAAAAAUGACAGAUGCUCUUUAUUGGACAACACAGUAUGGUAGGAAAUGAAGAGGCUAUAGCCAUGGGUCAAGAAGUUGGAGAUCAGUGGCAAUUCUUGUAUGCAGAAAGCAGUAACAUUUCCCCUGGGUUCCUGAGAGAAUAGAAGGGGCUGGAAAAUUCUUUUAAUUGCAGCUGAAAGGUUUGGAGGUUGUAACAUGUGAUGUGAUUAGGGGCUUGCAGAGCCUCUUGGGGCUCCUGUCCUUGCCAAGGACCUGGGGCUGAGGUUUCACAGGGCUGUCCCCUUGCUGUGGGGAGAAUGAAACAAAUGCAUGUGGCCUCCCCCCAUUCAGCAAAGUGCUUUAAAUGCUUUGCAUUAAAUACAUGAUCUCGUGAGGAGGAACGGAGGAGGGCUGGCAUCGGGUACCGUGCCAGUUCCCAAAGCCCCAUUGGUGACCCACUACAACCUGUGCUUUGACCAAAGGUGCUCCAGAUUCUCACAGUGGGGUCCUGGUCUCCCCCCCAGUACCCCGAGAGAGGCUGGCGAAGGACGGAGGAAGGAGAGGGCGCAGCGCAGCUAUGUACAGCACUGAUUGUGGUCUUGGAAACGAUCCGCACGCUGCCUCCCGUGCUGGAGCUGACCCCUCGGCUGCUGCUGGAGCUGAAGUUGCUGCCUCCACCAUAGCUGUAGCUUCCACUCCCGCCCCCGAAUCCUCCACCGCCGCCACUGCUGCUCAUGGUGUAGCUGCCGCCGCCUCCCAUGCUGAGACCACUGCUCAUGCCAAGACCACUGCUCAUGCCAAGACCACUGCUCAUGCCGAGACCUCCACCCAUGCCGAGACCACUGCCCAUUCCAAGACUUCCUCCCAUGCCGCCGCCAUAGCCCAUCCCGCUGGAGCUGCUCACUACAGCUGUGAGAGAACAGGGAUGAGUGAGACCACCUCAGCGUCUUGCAGAUCCCCAGGGUGGGGGGACAAACCCCAGCAAACAAGGGUGGGAAAGGGGGAGAUACUUACAGACACUCACGGCUCCAACGCCCUCUCCAGCGAGCCUGGUGGAAAAGAGGAAAGGAGGAGGUAACACAGGCAAGAUGCAGUGGUACCUGGGAGGGUCUCACUGCAGGAGCAUUCAGUUGGGGAACUAUCCAAUGGGGGGACCAUCUAAAUGGGAGACUAUCCAACUGAGGGGCCAUCCAAUUGCAGGGCCUUCAAACUGGGAGACCAUCUAAUUAGGAGAACAUGCAAUUGGGGAAUCAUUCAUCUAAGGGACCACUCACUUGGAGGACCACCUAAAUGGGGAGUCGUCUAGUUUGGGGACUUUCUGUCUGGAGGCCUGUCUAAUUAGACUUUCCUGUCCUUCAAUAGGGUCCUUCUACUGCUGGGCUAUGUCUGCAGCACAUGUGGAAGUGGCAAUUCUCAUUUUUCUUAGUGCAUCAGAUGCCAACAACUGGAGGAACCCAGCUUUUCCUAGAAACCUCACAUUUCAAAACACCCAUCUCCUCCCUCUGUUUUUAUGUUCCUUUAUGCUCCAGAUCCUUGGGGUGAGCUGAGGCUUUGGGCCCAAAGAGAGGUGCAGCAUGCCGGGAAAAGUGAUAUUUGCUGAUAUGUCUGCAAGGAUUCUUCACUCACCUGCUCUCCUCGCCCUCCAGCAGCUUCCUCCGCUGCACCAUCCGGUUGAUCUCUGAGAUCUCCAUCUUGGUGUUCCUGAGGUCAUCGCCGUGGCGCCCAGCUGAGACCUGCAGCUCUUCAUACUGGUCAUCAUCCUGGAGGUGUUCAAGAAACGUGGAGAUGUGGCACCUGGGUACAAGGUUAGGGGGCAUGUUUUCUAUCUUAUGGCUGCACUGCGAUUUCUAACAGGCAGCGAUGCUUCCUCCUUCACUGCCGUGCAGCACUGAGUGUGGAGCCAAGGGACGUCGUGCAGAGAACUGACUGCUCACCGCUUCGUACAGAGCCCUCAGGAAGUUGAUCUCAUCUGCCAGCCCAUCUGCUUUGGCCUGCAGUUCCACCUUGUUCAUGUGAUAUUUUAGGAAGCCCAAGGGCUCAGACCAUGGCUCCAUGACAGUGC